CCUCCUCCUCUCUGAGGAGUCUUUGUGCUCCUGAAGACUGAGAGGCGACGGAAGGAAAAAAACAGCUGGAUCUCUGCAGCUAGCGGCUCCUCCGGCUCCUCAGACCGGCCCGUUCCUCCGGGUUCCCAUCCGGACUUCAAUAAGCUGGUUGUGAGGCUGAUGAUGUGGUGUGAAGAUGGAGGCUCCUGAAUACCUGGACCUGGAUGAGAUCGACUUCUCCGAGGAUUCAGUGUAUUCUGUCACAUCUCUGAAGAACAUCCCAGAACUGUCCAGAAGGAGCGAUGGCCCGGCAGAGGAGAGACCAGCUCCAGCCAUCAACUGGAGUCGUGGAGUUCCCUCCCACAGCGGUGGAGGAAUCAAACCCACGGGCCUCGCUGAGGUCCACAGUAAGUUCCGUCCAGUGAAGAGGGUAUCCCCUCUUAAACACCAACCAGAAACCACAGACUCUGACUCCGACGGGAAGGGCCAGAACCCGGGGCUGGUUCUGGGCGAGCAGAAUGAGGUCAAUAAAGACGAGUCCAGCUCUGAGAAACAGAACAACGCCUCCAUGUCGUCUGACGGGUUUGGCGGGAGGACGAAGGGCCUGGGGAGCAGCGUGGUAGGAGGGAACAACCCUCAGGCUCUGUUUGGGGAGCUGGAACACUACGAUCUGGACAUGGAUGAGAUCCUGGAUGUGCCUUAUAUCAAGUCCAGUCAGCAGAUGUCCACGCUGCCUCGAGUCCCCCACGACAGACGCUCGGUGAUGGGGAGUAACGUUGGAGGAGGAACUCUGGAGAGGAACCGAGGAGGAGGGCUGAAGAACUCCACUCUGUCCCACAACGAACCUCUGAGCCUGGGCAGCAGCAGCUCACAGACCCCGUACUGUGUUCUUUCUCCGGUGAAGUGGUCGGACCUGAGGAAGUCGAAGUCAAUGGAUCCAGACCUCCAUCACCUCCCCCGCUCCCCAGGUGGAGGAGGUUACCAGCCAGAGCUUCCCUCCUCAGGCCUCCUCAGCUGCUCCUCCUCCCUCUCCUCCUUCUCUGAUGCAGACAAGCUCCUGUCGGCACGCGUUUUCCCCGACUCCCAGAGCCAGAGGUUGGGUGCGGACCCUCCGGGGGGGCUGACGUUCCCCCUAGCAGGGUGCAACGUGGGCAAGCAGGACACCUCCAAACCCUGGGCUCCUGGAGCAGGAGGAGUCAGCUUAAGGGGGUUUGGAGGAGCAGGUGGAGAAGUGGACGAGGAGACGAAGAAGAACCAGAACAUCAUCAACAUCGUCAGAGAGGGACAGAUCUCCCUGCUGCCUCACCUUGCAGCUGACAACCUGGAACUGAUCAGAGACGAGGACGGGAACAACCUGCUGCAUGUGGCCGCCUCUCAGGGUCACGCUGACUGUCUGCAGCAUCUCACCUCCCUGAUGGGGGAGGACGGCCUCAACGAGCGCAACAACCAGCAGCUCACCCCCGCUGGGCUGGGGGUCAAGAACGGCCAUCUGGAGUCUGUGAGGUGGAUGGUGAGUGAGACGGAGGCCAUAGCUGAGCUGAGCUGCACCAGAGAACAUCCCAGUUUGAUCCACUAUGCUGCUCGCUACGGACAGGAGAAGGUCCUGCUGUGGUUGCUUCAGUUCAUGCAGGAACAGGCCAUCUCCCUGGAUGAAGUGGACCAGAACGGAAACACAGCUGUCCACGUUGCGGCUCAGUACGGACACCUCACCUGUAUACAGACUCUGGUGGAGUACGGCUCCAACGUAACGAUCCAGAACCAGCAGGGAGAGCGGCCCUCCCAGAGUGCGGAGCGGCAGGGCCACACCACCUGUGCCCGCUACCUGGUGGUGGUGGAGACCUGCAUGUCGCUGGCCUCACAGGUCGUUAAACUCACCAAACAGCUCAAUGAGCAGGCUGUAGAGAGGAUAAACCUCCAGAAACAUCUACAGAGGCUGAUGGAUCCCAACAAGGCCGAGGGGACGCCUUCCAGAUCACCCAGUUCCCAUCAGCCCUUGGAGGCGUGUCCAGAGAUGAUGCUGACAGCGGAGGGGACUCCUGGAGACGGACACUGGCUGGUCCGCCAGGCGGGUGUGGGUCCUGACUCCGUGCUGCGACAGCUGGGAAAAGAUGCAUCUGACGGCAUCGGUCCCAGAGAGAGACUUCAGCCUGGGGCCAGUUUGAGCAGAGAGGGCCCCGGGGCCCCUGGGAGCCAUAGAACAGGGCUGCUGGAGAGGAGAGAGCUCAAACUAGCAAGACUCAAACAGAUCAUGCAACGCUCGCUGAGUGAGUCUGAUUCGGAGAGUUAUCCACCAGAUGAUGGGAAAAAUCCAGGAGCCCCGCCCCCGAGCACUCUGCGACCCGAUAGGCCGUCCCACCUGCCAAUCACAGAGGACGAACCGGUCUCAAACCACCUCCAUCAUGUAAUGAAGAAGCACCUCCCUGCUUCAUCCUCCUCAGCUGAGAGGAAGCUGGCCUUUUCUCUCAGCGGGUCGAAGUCUGUGGACAGCAUCGGUUACAACCCCUCCCCCACAUCCAGUGACCCCGAGGCUACGGAUAACAAAACUCCAGAGACUCCUGCCGACGGCCACAAAGCUGCAACCAGCCCCAAGAGCGCCCUGAAGUCCCCGUCGUCUCGCAGGAAGACCUCACAAAACCUCAAACUGAGGGUCACCUUCGAUGAGCAGGUCCACAGGAGCUCCAAUCAGGAGCCUGAACCCAGCAAAGGGCCUCAAGGGAAGGAGAGAACUCCAACAGGAAGCUCAGAGAGCAAGAGGCCGUUCGGGACGUUUCGGUCCAUCAUGGAGACGCUGAGCGGAAACUCCAACCACAGCAACAACAGCAGCAGUAACAGUGGUCAGGCAGGCUCCGCUGGUAAACAGUCCACCUAUCAGAACUCACCUGGCAGGAAGUCUGACAGCAAAGGUGGCGCAGGGGGUGGAGCCAAGGGCAAGAGCAAGGUCAGCAACGUCUGACCCCCAGAGAGCACAAAACAGAGAAGGCAGAGAACAUGAGAACCGUGCUGCUAGAUGUUCUAUCAAACAUCUCUGUGAGGCAGACAGGAAAUGGUGUGAAGAGGGGAAGACAUGCAGCAGGUCCCCGAGGCCGGGACCCGAACCAGAGGACAGCCGCGUCGGGGGCAGAAGCCUCUCUAUACAAGGGCCUAAGUUAUAUAUUUUUUUAAUUUAUGUUGAGUUAAAAAUUAAGAUGUCAUGAUCUUAAAAAGUCUUAAAUUUGACUCACUGGGGCGUGGCGGUGGUACAAGUGUAAAACACGCAACCCAUUUUCAGAGGCUUCAGUCCUCUGCGACGCAGCUGUCGCAGGUUAGACGGCCGGUUCAGUUUUCUUUUAAGAAAUAAAGGCCACUAGCGCUGAAGAAAACUUUUACAUUUCUCACUGAAACUACCAGAAACCCUGGUCUAAGUCCUGAUCUGUAACUUUCCUAACGAUAACCUCUGGAUUUUCUGCAUCCUCUCACUGAUACUGGUGGCGCUGUCAGUGACUGUUGGGCCCUUUGGACCUGCGAUUGGGACAGGAGCCAUACAGUCACAUACAGUAAGAGAUACUGUAAUAAUCAUAGCUAGGCAGAGCAUGUAGAUGUUGAAUAAAAGUGGCACCAGAAUGGAGCCUUGAGGAACGCCACAAAAUAAAUCAUGAAAUCUUAGAACUCUUCACUUCUAAUUUGUAAAAUAUUCUUUUCCAGCACUAGAGUAAAAAUGGAUUCCUUGUGAGUGGAAUAGUAUUCUUGACUAUUCUGGAGCUUAUUUCAGACAGUUUUCUUCAGUUUUGGGUCUCGGUUCCCUGUUUUAAGGUUUCUCAUGUUCUUUGCCUCAAAUGUUGAACCUUUAAAUGUUUCACACAAACAAUUUUUUCAGAUCUACCUGUUGUUGAGGUGAGUCUGAAUGAUUCUCAGCAUCGUGAUCUUUUCUUCAUUUUUUGUUUCGCUGGUCAACAUUUGUCUGAACCGUUCUUUGUUUCUUUCGUUCUCCGUUACUGUCGCCUGAUCUCCACUCGAGAUGAAGUAUUUAUGUUUAUGCACACCGUGUAACGAUUUAAAAUGAAAUCUUUUAAUCAUGCACAUGUUAAACGUGCACCAGCACAACAAAUACGUUAAAAACAACACUGUAUAUAUUUUAUAAGUAUUUAAAUUGUUUACAUUAUAUUCCACGUGUUUUUAUUUCUUUAUUAUCUAUGCAGUAUUUUUGGCAUGAGGUAGACGGUAGUUGACGGGGAGGUUUAAACGAGCACCUUCUACACCUUUUAUCAGCAUGAAGUUUGAAGUGAGAGAAGAAGGUCUGAAGUUCUCUGUUGAUGAACAUCUACCAUCUCCAGGCUCUGAAGCAGAAGACUGAGGCCGUAAUCUGAUGCUUAUACGCACCGUUUAUGUUCCACUGGGGCUGGAAUGAUGGGAAGCAGCCAGAAGAAAGCCUUACCAGGAAAACUUGGAUUGUUUAAAGUUCUGGCUUUGGGUGAUCAGUUUAGAGGUCCUGCUUGGCACAGAGGUUACCAAAUGGUCUCCAUCAAGUUGGUUUUCAUGUAAAAAUGCAGAACAUGUUAAAGGUCUGAGCCACAUCCCAAGCAGCCGUUCUGCUGACCUUUACUGCCGGGAACAUUACUGAGAUUUCUGGGGAGCUUGGCCUUGAUUUUUCAGAUCUGUUUUCACAGAUCUACGCCCUCUGAUGAAGGUGCUUCCAAGAGAACAUCUGAAUGAAAACCAGGAAUGUUCCCCCCAAGAGAAAAUACUAUUCAGAUUAUAUAGUAGCGCUAAAAAUGUCCGUCAGGGCAGCGAUUCCCGUAUCUCAGAGUAAACCACAUGUCUCUGGUUUCCAGCUUUGGCACAAACUGGACCACGUUGGUUUGGUUUUGGAUGCAUGUUUACAUCAGUAGAAUCUGGACUGUUGACAUUCCUGAGUUAACUGAGUUUAACUGAGUUAAAGGUUGUUGAUGUGCAGGUUGGCUGCGUUUUCCAGCCUAAUAUCCUUCAGGAUGAUGCUCCGAGUCUGCAGCUGGUCCAGAUGUUUGAAAGCUACAGUCCAUCUGAACCUGAGCAACAUGAUAAAACAGGAACAGCUGAAUGGGAAGAAAAUGUUUUACAUGAAUUCACUCCUCAGACCAGAAGCAUCUAAGACGUUUCUCCUGAUUUUGGUGGUUUUUUUACGUGUAAUUUGGUAUCAAAGGGUCUCAGAUACUUGCAGAAAAACUCCAACUGAUGAUCCAUUGCUUUUAAUGUUGAAGAUAUUUGGUUGACUAACAUCUGGAAAACAAAACCAACUUCCUGUUGAUAAAAACCAGAACUUUCUUGCUGCCUGGAUCAUCUCCAGCCUUCGCUGCCUGAACGGUUCUCCACGUCGCUGUUUGUUGGGUAUUUUUUUAACCUGCAGGAUGUUUGACCUGAACCAUCAUUGUUUAUGAUCUUCUUCAGGACGACAGGCAGGAGGCCACCUGAGCUCUGCCUCCCUUACCUGUCAACGGACAGAGUUCUGAUGGACGGUUAUCAGAAUCUCAGAUGUUCAUCAAUGCAAAAAAAACUGAACCAUGAUGAAUGAAGGGAGACUCAACAUCUGUGAAUGUCUGGUCACUGAUCUGAGGUCAGGUUAUUCUCUUCAACCAGCAUGUACAGAGACCCACACCUGCUUUAUUGAAGCGGUUCUGGAGGGGUUCAGACAAACUGAAAUAAACUUUUAUUUCUGGACUUUUA